GCGGCUAUCAAAGCGGGUGGACGUGUAUGUUCAAAUUUGUUUCCUAUAUUUUAACGAAUCGUCAUAAUUUUGUUCUAUGAGCUACAACAAUAAAUUAUACUAGAAAAUGAUGUGGAAUAUGUGAAUGUACCUGCAAUAUUUUUAGUGAGUGCAAAUGGAGAUGAUAAAUGCUGGAGUGCGGUGACGACCGGUGCGAAUGGUCGGAUUGUGUAAAAAUAACUGCGGAACCGGCGGCUAACUGCUAAGCAACCAGUGGAAUGAGUUCUGUCGGCAUAAUAUUAUAGUCGAGGCGGGGCGAGGCCGACUGCGCCAUAUUAUAAUUUCCCUUCGCGUUGAAUGUGCAAACAGACGAUAGACUGACUAAACAGUGAGCUGUCUGUAUCUCUCUCCCUCUUUGCAGCCUAUUAAGCGUGUUGUACAAAACAAAACGUCGCUAAACUGGUCUCGAUUCACGACACGUAACCAUGUAUUGAACUCGAUAUGUACUAUAUUAUUAUACUGUAGCAGGUAAAGAUGACAACAAUGGGCCAUUGCAAAUGGCAGUAGAAUACUAGAUGCGUAUCCAAGUAUUGGUUAAGUCGUCGAAAUGACGCCUUAAAAGGAGCGGGGAAUGAAGUGCCGGAGGGGCAGGCGAACAGAGGCAAGCCACAUAAUACGAUUGCAUAUAAUAUGUAUAGCUCCAACGCUGCCCGACACACCGAAUAUAUUAUAAACGUCUAUACUUUA